rnacentral:rRNA from 1 species
UACGAAGGGGGCUAGCGUUGCUCGGAAUCACUGGGCGUAAAGAGCGUGUAGGCGGCCCCUUAAGUCCUGCGUGAAAUCCUGCGGCUCAACCGCAGACGGUCGUGGGAAACUGGAGGGCUAGAGUGCGGGAGAGGAGAGUGGAAUUCCCGGUGUAGCGGUGAAAUGCGCAGAUAUCGGGAAGAACACCCGUGGCGAAGGCGGCUCUCUGGAACGCAACUGACGCUGAGACGCGAAAGCGUGGGGAGCAACAGGG